rnacentral:rRNA from 1 species
AUGGCGGCAGCUACCAGAGCUCUCCUUGUUGCCGCAGUGACCGCGGCGGCGCUGUUUGGCUCGGCGCUCGGCGCCACCUACACAGUCGGCGCACCGGCCGGGUCGUGGGACCUCCGGACAAACUACACCCGAUGGACUUCCACCAUCAGGUUCUACACCGGCGACGAGCUCCGGUUCCAGUACCCCGCUGCGGCGCACAACGUGGUGGAGGUGACCAAGACUGCCUACGACAACUGCAGCAGCUCUAGUCCCGUCGCCACGUUCCCGAGCGGCAACGAUGUCAUUCCGCUCGCCGCCGUCGGGACCCGGUACUUCAUCUGCGGCCUGCCGGGGCACUGCGCCGGUGGCAUGAAGGUACAGGUCAACGUCCAGUCCAAGGUAGUGAGAUGCCGAAGGAGAGGGGUGAGGCAGCGGUGCACACAGACAACGCCACAACCGAGCUCGGCAGCUCAGGCUGGUGCUGAGCCUGUACUAGCGCUCGGGCUGGCCGCCCUCGUGGCUGGCUUGACGCUUCUCUGUAUGUUGUUGGGAUUGCAAAACGUAUUGCUCAUGUGCAAAGGCACGUAUAUAUGA